GGCGAUCCCUGUGAAAGGAUCGUUCGACCCCCAAAGGGGUCGUGACCCACAGGUUGAGAACCGCUGCUCUACACGCAUGUCAGGCGUCUUCUCCAGCCGCCCCCCACACCACCAGGGAAUUGCCUUGUAGAAUUUCAGUUCUGAGUUAGAGCCGGUAUUUCUCUCUCGCUUGCAGAGACAAUACUCAGAGAACACAUACAAGUUCCUUAGCAGAGGACGCACCAUGCCCAUCACGACAGGGCCCUGCCUCCCUGUCCGGCUCUGGCUCCCAUGAUGUCUGUGCCUGGAAACUCGGUGCUGGCGAUGCUGAAGCUCGCGGGCCGCCCCCUGCAUCUGGCCCCGGAGCACACUCUUCUCGCUCCCCCAGCCCGUUCCCACCGGGCUCACCCACACCGAGAGGGGCUCGGAGGGGCUCAGCUCUGCUUCUCGCACUCUAUGGUUCACCCGGCACAUUCCUGGCACUGCCUAACUGGCUUCCUGGUGGGCUCGCUUCGCUUUUACGCUGGAUCUUCCGUCCUAGUCUUCCCUUCAGAGGCGCCGCCAGUUGGUAAAUUCCUUUGGAAGUCCCUGCUGCCUGGCAGUGGCUGGCACAUUUCUGAGAUUCGGUGAACAGCUGUUGAAUCAAUGAACGAACGAACAAACGAACGAAUGAUAUUCAUCAGAAGAGCCUGACAACAAGGUGCCCAUUGCCACAGCUCUGGGCAGGGGCGGGCUGAGGGGCCCCGCGAGCGGCCCGAGCUCACACAUGACCAGUGUCCCAGUGCCGGGAGCCCUGAGACCCUCCGUGUCCCCCUGAGGGCAGCUGGGCGCCCCGCCAGAGCCCCGGAGCCACAGCCUCGGGGGACUCGUGCCGCCAGGAGCCAAUGGGAACUGUCGACGCAGAAGCAGACAUGGCACUCGCUGGGCAACAGCUGCAACUGGAAGUGCCCAGAGGCCCUGCUGGGUGGGAGCCGGUGACAGCGCCCGCUGCCAGCUCGCAGCACGGAGUUUCCAUGAGGUUCGCGGGCGGAACGGGGCCAGCUGGGCCGCGUCGCUGCUGGGAGCAAGGCCCUCUGCCCCCCAAAGGCGUCUUCUCUGCCAUCCCCAUCCCCAUGGGCAGGAGAGAGAGAGAGAGAGAGAACACAUUUUCCCACCAGAAACCAGGCGCGAGAAGCCUUGGACCUGAAAUCGGAUCUUCACGUUUUGGUGGGGGCAGGGGCAGGGGCAGGGGCAGGAAAAAGGGUUUGAACUAAAAAUAGAAUCAAAGAGCUGACUCUAUCUGAACUAUAGAGUGAGAGAAGUGUUGAAUAAGAACCAAUGUAAAUAACAAGAAAAGCUGAGGAAUUUCAAACCAAGGGGAGGGUUAGUGAGCCUUUUAUCGCCAGAAAGAGCUGUGUCCUUUUUCCAAUUCCUCGUCCUACAGAAGAAACUGGGAGUGGAACGCCUGACACCGAAAUUCCAGCGAAUUGUCUUCCCUGCUGAGUCUCCUGAGCGUGAGGAUUUAUUUUCCAAAAGCCUGACAUUUCCGAAAUUCUGCUAAGUCGAAGCCUUUUCCUGCUUUCUCUCCCUGUUACCACAGGGGCCGAUGGAAUUCACACAAGAACCUAAAUGAAAACUUUUCUGCAAACCCGAGUGCUGUCUUUGCCUCAGAUUGUUCUGUGAAAAGCAAGUUUUUGCAGAGAAAGUCAAAACCUCCUGUAUAAGUGGGAAGCAUUUCUCAAGAUUCGUUGGAUUGGCCAACGCGCGGUAAUAAUUUCACCACUAUUAUUGUUGGACAUAAAAGAAGUUCAUUUUGCGUUUAGGUACGAAAUAGUUCAAACAGCUAUAGUUCACUAUAGUGAUCAUGAAAUAGUUAAUACUCGAAGGAAAACAUAAAACUGCAGAGAAAUAGGUAAAACACACCUUAAUUCCAUCAUCCACACACAACUACGUUUUCACAGGAGUGCAUCCCAUCCCUUCCCAGGCUUUUACCUGCGUGUGAAGGGGCUGUGUUCCCAGUCAUCAUCGACUUUGUGCCUAAAUUGUUAUGAUUUUAUAUGAAACAUCGUCAUUUCAAUUAUAAUCCUUUAGAUCAUAAGCACAACAGCAAUGACAGUGACCGCAGUGGGGAACAGCCACACGCGGGCACACACGGCCUCUCGUCCACCCGCCCCUCCGCCCUGCUCGAUGCAGCCCCGUAUAAAAGGCCUAAGUGGAUUUUUAGGGCUUCAGCUGGUCCGCUGUGGACGUAGCUGCUCCUAGAAAUGCCUUCUCUAUCCCCCACAGCAGCAUAGCCAAGUUGGAAGAGAGCCCAUAACAGUUAUUAGCGUGCGACUGCAUUUUUAAAGUGAGGAAGUCGGGACCGAGAAUAAAUGAUGUGAUUUGCUCAGAGUCAUACAGUGACUUCGUCUCAGGGUCACCCAGGCCCCUGGGCUGCCUGGUGGCUCUCUGGGGCUGUCCACAGCACCCACUGCCUGUCAAUCAACUGUCACCAAAAUUAGUAUCCAGUGGGGGAGGCUCUCUGAGCUCUCCCAGCCCCUCCCCCUCUUUCUCGGUUCUCGGUGCGGCUGCUGGUUUGGAAAGCAAGGACAGAAAGAGUGUGUGAACACCGCCUUUUUGGAUGCUUCCUGCAAACUCGUCCUACGACUCUUGAGCCCUCUCUGCGCCCGAACUCUUCAUCUUCUGAAGAGGGAGACAUAUAUUGCAAUUCCUCUGUACCACUGAGGAGAGCGUUUCAGUAGCAAAAAUAAAAUCUCAAACUCGAAUCUAUCCUUUGCCCCUGUCUGUCUGGUCGGCCUGAUGUGGAGUUCCCGGAAUCAGGGCUGCUCUUCUUGGAGUCGGGGAAACAAUCCAGGAAUAAGAAAAAAUUACCCUGCGAACAAGAUACUGCAACAAAGGGGCCAGGCGCAGCCUAAUUCCCACUUCUCAUUAAAGACGGAAAAUCGGUUGAGGGCGUGCUUCCCUUCUCACUCGCCUCCCGUCGCCACGCUCUCCUGGGGAGAGGAUGUGCAUCCCGGGGGAGCUGCGGAGACCCUGGAAGAGAGGUUGCCACGCGUACACUCCUCCCAGUCUCUCUUCCAUGGGCCUAGUCAGCCUCAAAUUCAAAUCCACAGACGGUAGCUCUGUGUUUCAAAGACAACCUUCGAGAGCGGCCAUAAACCUGACGCAGGUGGGAGGCACGUGGGCAGCCCUCCCGCCCUGCUUCUUACUCCAGACACGGUUCUAACCCAGAUUAAACUGUGUGUGCAGAGGAGUGCCGAGGUGGCAGUCCUGGUGAGGGGACAGCUUAUUCUGUGGCACAGGUGACAGCCUUCAGUAGCCAGACGGAGAACCACCACCUCCGCGAGGGCACGAGUCAGUCUGGUCUGUUUGUCGAGGCUCCCUCCCAGGUUUACAGCUAAUCCUUUGGCUCAGAGGGCACGAAGCAGAUUCAGCUGGUCACUGAACUCACGAAGAUAGCCCGUCGGACCUGUGAGGAGGGCACAGCAUCACCUCUCUUGUCCCGAAGUCACUUACCCCCACCCCCACUUGUAGGAGCUUCGCCAAGAACCCAGGAGCAAACGUGGCCCCCAAGAAACUCGAUGAGCUGGUGUGAAGUUUAAGGACUUGGUUCAUGGGAGAGUUUAAGGACUUGGUUCAUGACUCCUCCAGAGUCAAUUCGUUUUCAUCUUUAUGUGUCUCUAACCUGCACGAUCCUAAGAUUUCUCCUCCCGCACAGAGAUUAGACUCAGCAAAUGUUUAAAGGUGGUUGACUUGAUCCACUGAAAGACGGUGAAGGAGAAAUAAAAACACUCAACGUUCACAGAAGUUAACAAAUGCACAGUCACCUAGGUGUGGAUUUGGUGAAGAGGCUAAGACACCAACACACCACGUUAUACGGCCCAGUCUCUCAGUGAAUGUGAAGAAGGAUGCGUGACCUUGUUCCUUCAUGCCCUUCAGAAGGCGGCUUACACCUCAACAUCUCAGAAAGACCUUCCUCCACGGACUCUUCUGGAAGCAGCCCUAACCCCCCGCUCUGCUUCUCCUCACCCUGUAUGUCUCCUGCCCAGCACCUGCUGCAAUUUACAGUCACAUUCUUUAUGACUUGACUUUUUUGUUACAGUUGUCUGCCGGCUGCAGUGAAUUUUGAGCGCCAUGCUCUUCCUUCUCAUCACCGACUGCCCCAAGCCCGGCUCUGUGCUUGUCCCAUGAAAGGUGCUGAAUCAGCAAACGAUGGAUGAGUCAAGAAACGUCAACAGGGAAGCAGCUACAUUCCUUGGUGACGACAUAUCCCUUUAGAAGCUUGUAUUUAGAUUUAGGAAUCCACCUUAGAAAGAUGACUAAAGGGAUGUUGUAUUUUGAGAAGACAGGACAUUUGGUAACCACCAUUGACUGGGAAACCAUCAUGUACCAGGAAGGAUAAUCCUCGCAACGACACAGUCCAGUAGAUGAUCAGUCCUCGCUUCACUGAUGAGGAAACCGAAGUUAAGCAACUUUCCAAUUGUAUGCAAUUUGUGGCCAAGUGUGGAUGCAAACCCGAGGCCCGCAUCUCAUUGCUUGAAUGGGUACAGCUUCAAUCAUCUUUCCUUGCUGAGGAGCUCAGGCCCUGUCUGGGUUCUGCACGGGCCUGAACCAAGAGCUGUGUUCCAAAGGGACUAAUUAGGCAGGGAGGAAGGUCAUGCAGAUUAGGGCUGAGUCAAGUCUGAGAAUCAAGACAGGGAGACCAGGUUCAAAGGGCAGGCCUGGAAUUAUAAAAGAAUCAAAAGUCAGGAGUCCUUUGAAAACAGGGUCUGAGUCAUUCUCCAGCCCACUUAAGUCUGGCUUCCACCCCCCUCCUCCUGCCCCCCUCAGACUUUCCCAAAACAGCCCUCACUAAUGUCACCAAUGACUUUGACAUUGGCAGAUCCAUUUAUGCUUCAUCGUGCCUGGCUCCUCAGUAGCAUCUGACAUCUGACCAUUCACUUCCUCCUUCGUGAAUCAUUGUUUAGCCCUGGCUUCCCUCCCACCCCGAGCUCUCGCCUGCUCUUCCUCUCACCUAUCUGUCUGCUCUAUCUCAGUCGCAUUUGCCAUUUGAUUCUCCUCCACUUUGACGAUAAAUGUGCAGGUUUUCAAGAUCACGCAUCUGCUCACUGAUGAUCCCAGCUGUUAUCGCUUGCCUGACCUCUCUCCUGAAGGUCAAACUCCAGUCCAACAAGCUGUGCACAAUCUUCAUAUGAAACGCAGCAAGUCAAAACCAGACCCUUGACUUUUCCCUUCCAUAUACCCUUUCCUGUACUGGUGUCUAUGAAGACUGCCACAGCCAACAUGCUGAUCAAGGUCAUCCCCGCUCUCGUCUCUCUCUCACACACCACAUUCAAUGCCUUGUACAUCUGGAAUCGGACCCCGACCCACCACCUCCAGGGCUCCAAGCCAGGCCCACGUCUCACCAGCCUGUUGUAAUGGCCUCUUACCUGCCUUCAUUCCAAUGUGGACACAGCUGUGAGAGGGCCCACGAAGGACCUAAGUCAAUCAUAUCUCUGUUCAAUCUUGUAAUAUCCCCCCCUAAUUUCUAGCAGAAGCUGAACCCCUGCCUAGGCCCUGCAGCCCCUGUCACCUCAGGACAUGACCUGGAAGGGGGAGGGUCAGGAUCCCCUUGGUGGGGCUGGGAGCUCCAACCCCUGCUCCAACAGGGAGAGGACUCCCACCCCCACCCUUGCCCACCUCCCCACCAGUUUCCCUGCAGACUUUCAGGCCCUCCCUUUUCUGGGGCAAAGACACUGCAGGAAAUCUAACUAAUGAUUUGAAAAACGCACUUUAAUUCUUUUUUUAUUAAAUCGAUUGGGGUGACGUAGGUCAACAUAAA